rnacentral:rRNA from 1 species
GACGAACGCUGGCGGCGUGCUUAACACAUGCAAGUCGAACGGGUCUGCCCUGUUUUUUGCGGGGUGGGUCAGUGGCGAACGGGUGAGUAACACGUGAGUAACCUGCCCCUCACUUCUGGAUAACCGCUUGAAAGGGUGGCUAAUACGGGGUGUUCUGGCUGUGCCGCAUGGUGUGGCUGGGAAAGAUUCACUUUUGUGGUGUUUUGGUGGGGGAUGGGCUCGCGGCCUAUCAGCUUGUUGGUGGGGUGAUGGCCUGCCAAGGCUUUGACGGGUAGCCGGCCUGAGAGGGUGGGCGGUCACACUGGGACUGAGAUACGGCCCAGACUCCUGCGGGAGGCAGCAGUGGGGGGUAUUGCACAAUGGGCGGAAGCCUGAUGCAGCGACGUUGCGUGAGGGAUGGAGGCCUUCGGGUUGUGAACCUCUUUCGCCGGUGAAGAAGGUCCUGCUCUUUGUGGUGGGGUUGACGGUAGCCGGGUUAUGAAGCGCCGGCUAACUACGUG